rnacentral:lncRNA from 1 species
UUUUCUUUUUUUUGUAAUUUAAUGUUUUUUUUUAUUUAUAUGAGAAUAUUUAUAAAUAUUCUUUUAAAUUCUCCAAAUUCGUUCCAUGUAAUUUGAUGAUUUCACAAAUUAAUAUUUUUUUCUCCAUGUUUGAUUUGUUAUAUUGAGUUGGUUUUUUCGGGUUUUUUCUUAAAAUGUAGUUCGUCGAUUGACCACUUGAACUAUUUUUUAAAAAAAAUAAGCUUUGUGUAUUUGAACAAUUUAAGUAGCCUUAAAUCUAUGUUAAGUUUAAGGUUAAUAUACCGUAUUAUCAAGGAUCUCUAUGGUGGCAUAUCACACCUCAAAAAAUUUUAAAUAUAUUUUAGUAUUUAAUUUGACAAAUUAAAUGAAAUAUAAAAUCUCAUAGUAACUCAAGGGUAUAAUAGGAAAGAAAUUUUUUCUAGAAUUCUAAACCAAACAUAAGAUUAAAUGGGAAACAUGAACCAAACACUUGAUAAAAACUAAUCCUUGCAUUACUAAUCAUGCAUUAGUAAUCCCUGCAUUAUGCAUCUUUGUACCAAACGAUCCCUUAAUGACGGUUGAUUUUGGAUGCUUUAAUUAAGCAUAGUCAUGGGGUGAGUAAAUAAAUUGAUGAACUAAUAAACAGAGACGUUACGAAAUAUUAUUCGUCAAAUUAUCAAAUCAGACCCCUUAGGACCAACACCUAUCAUGAUUACAAAAUGAAAAAGAACCAAAUCGAAUUGAAAAAAUAAAGUAGGAUUUGAACAAAUACUUACUUUCGUCCAAUUUUUGUGAUGGCAAUUGAUGCCUAAUUAAAUAUUAAACUGUAGUUUUGGAAUGCAAAAUUUUUCUAUAUAAUUUGAACGGGUAAAUUACAUCACAUAAAUUGAGACAGAAAAAAUAAGUUUUAAUUUCUUUGUUUGUUGUUCUAUAAAAAAAUAAUUAAAGUACCAAUUAAAUUCCUCAUAAAUCAAUUUGAAUUAUAUAUUAAUUUAAUUUUUAAAUAAAUUGAACUGGACGAAUCAAAAUUAAUGGAGGCAAAUAAGCAAGUGGAUCAAUAAUUCAUCACAAUCGAAUGAGUUAAAACGAAUCAUGUUUUUAUGCAGUAGUACUAAUUUUGUUAAUUUCUGAGUAGGAGACACUCUCGUGGUUGGUGUGUCAUUUCAAUUGUUGUUGAGUUUGGAUGCUUUUGUUGACGCCCACACUUGGAAUAUAUAGUAGUUAAGGGGUAGGUAAACUUGAUGAACUAAACACACACAAUUACCAACUCUUAUUUGUCUAUUCUUUUUUUAGAAAAAAUUAAUCAUGGUGACUGAAUCAGUUUGUGCGCAUUUUAGCUAAUUUCAUGUGAUAAUGUCACUUCAAGGCUAAAACAAUCGGAAAGAAAUCAUCUAGUGUUUUAUCUAUAUUGGAAUUUGAACUUAAGAGUCAUAAUGCUCAACCUACAUUAUUAACCUUCUGGUCACACCUUAAGUACUCUUCUUCAUUAUAAUUUCGUACAAGACAUCAGGCUUGCACUAUAACAAAUAAAGGAUUUGGUGGCAAUAAUAUAAUUAUCAAUAUAUUAUAUUUUGCGACAUUAAUAAAUAUGAAUAUUUAUAACUAAUCGGAGUACUUUUUUAUAUAAAUGUCAAUAAAGAUUUUAGUUCCUCUAAAUAGAGCAACAUUAAUUCAAUUAGUAUUACAAUUUUUGUAGAAAAAAGGAAAACAAGGAGUAAGAUAAAAUUUGACGCAGCAUAACCAAACAAAUCUUAUUAGAUCCUAAAAGAUUAAUUAUCUCUUGCGUGAGUAUAGAAAUAACCGAUUUCUCCCACCUGCUCCUAUGUUGUUAAUACUCUUUGAAAAUUACACCUAUUUUUGGUUAGGGCAAACAUUGCACGAUUUAAUGUUCUACAACUGCAAAAUCCUUACUUGACUUUAUGCUCAUUACUGAAAACUCUACAUUUUAUUUUAUUUUCUCAAGAAUUCAACAAAAACUGUACCAACUUUUAUGUGGGGCUAGAUUAGUUAGCAAGGCAGUUUGCUUAAUUUGUUUACAUGCCAAUCAGUCAUUUAUAACUAAUCUCCUUAACUCUGCUUAUAAAUAGCACUAUCCCUCAUCAUAUCUUAUUUGAUUAAUUUUGUGUUGCAACAGUCAACAAGUGCUUAGUAACCGGAUAACUUAUAUCUCGUCUUUUUUUCUUUUCUUUUCUCUUUGCAACAUUAGCUACGAGAGGUCAUGGGUAAAGUUGUUCUGCUUGUAAUAUUUGCGAUCAUAUUUACAUGGGUGGCUCAAGCCCAAGACCAAACGUCAUGGGCUAAGAGGGUUGAUACAGGCAAAGAGGUGGUUACAACCCUUCAAUUUUACUUCCAUGACAAACUCAGUGGAUCAAAUCCAAGUGCAGUUCAAAUUGCACAAGCUGCAGGGACUAACAAUUCGAGUACCUUAUUUGGGGCUUUGUUGAUGAUUGAUGAUCCACUUACUAUUGGACCUGAACCAACUUCAAAGCUAGUAGGUCGAGCCCGCGGACUAUAUGGGUCUGCUGGUCAAACUGAUAUGGGCCUUAUCAUGGUGGUUAGUUAUGGGUUCACAGAUGGUAUCUAUCAAGGGAGUUCAUUUAGCCUAUUGAGUUUGAACCCGGCAAUGAACCCGGUUCGUGAGAUGGCUAUCGUUGGUGGGACCGGGCUUUUUCGGUUGGCCCGUGGGUAUGCUCUUGCUCAAACUAAUUCGGCAAAUUCUAAUGGUGAUGCAAUUGUUGGCUACAAUGUUACAAUUGUCACAUAUGUUUGAAUUUUUUCUUAUUUUUUGUAAGCAACUUUUUAGUUCUAUAAUAACCGAUAUUAUUCAGGCAAUUCAAAUAUUUCAUUCUUGGCAUCAUCAUAGAACGGCUCGAGUUUAUAGUAAGGUAACAUGUCGAGAAAGAUGAAACUAGCGUUUGGCCAUAGAUUUUCAAAUAUUAUUUGGGUGAAAUUUCAUCAUGUAUUUGGGAAACAUAUUUCACUUUUAAAAAAAAAUAUGAUUUAUAUCCAUAAAUUUUUAAAAUGGUCAAAACUAACCAUAAGUUUGUAUUACAAGUCAAUUGGAUCUACGUUUCAACAAAUAACAAGUAGUGUCCAUGACACUGGAGCAAUAUGGUAGUUUGGAGUGAGUGCAACAGGCAUCAUUUCAUACAUCGUGAAGUAGACAAAACACAUGACUUUAAUACCUUGAGCCGAUUGUUCAUCAUUUUCAUCAACAAUCAUAUUAUCACUUUCAUAUUCAUUGAAUAUUUCAUCACUACUUUGGUGUUUACGUAAAAAAUUAUGUAAUACAACGCAAACAACUACUAUAGAGGGUGUUUUUGUAAAAGAUAAAAGUUUGGUGUAAAAUUUUAAUUUUUAAAAGAUUCCAAUAAUAAGAUUUGGCCCAAAUAUUAGAAAAAACUAGUAUUUGAAAAUUUGGGAUAUUUGUUAAAUAAUGACAAAUUGUAUGGACAAACCAUGAGUAAGCACUUUUGACAGCAAGAGAAGAGUCCUCCUCCUCACAAGGAUCGACUCCUUAAAGGUGCGAGGUGCAAUCAACCGCGAAAAGUCAGUAAUAAAGAAUCGAAACACUAUUUGCCAAAUUUUUCUCCAAAUAUUACUUGGGAAAUCUAUGGCCCAACGGGUCCGAAAUCGUCGUAUUUCCUUUCCACGUUCGUCUCGCUUGUUGGGGAUGAUCAGCAAUUUGUGUUAAUAGGUGGAAAAGAAGCAAAUGCAUCUAGAAAGAGAAAGAAGAAGAAAAAACAAUUUCUUGUAGAAGAGUAAAUUUAAUUCUGCAAUAGACUGCUUUACCGUUGACAAAAUCAAUUUAAGAGAAUCAUCGAUUUAUUAUUUAUGUAUAGAUUUAAACUUAUUUUAAUAAGAUCAUUCACAGAAAAACACAAGUUGAACAAGACUACUAACAACUACAUUAAAAAGUUUUUUUUUAUAUAUUUUUAAACCCUGUAUUAAAUCAAAGUGGAUCAUUUAAAAAUAAAAAUAAAAACAGAAAGAGUAAUAAAAGUUAACGGCUAUUAGUCGAGAUUUGUAGUUGAAGCCACGAGGCUGACUACUUGCUUAUACAAUAGUACAAAUAAAAUUAAGAUCACAUUCAACUACUCUUUAUAUAUCUUUCUUUCUUCCAAAUUCCAAUCAAUUCCUACCAAUAAGAGAAAAAUGGAGAAGCAAAUAGUCAUUCGAUUAAUAAGCUUAGUAUUAUUAACAAUUGCCACAGCAGCUGCCAUAGAUAAAAGCCCAAAAGCAGUUGAAAAAUGGUUCAAAAAUCUCCCUUAUGCAAACACCAAAACCACCAAAUUUCACUUCUACUUUCAUGAAAUUUUUGGAGGAGAUAACCAAACAGCUCCUAUAAUUGCUCAAGCCAACAUUACAGCUCAAUCACCCACAUUCUUUGGCAUGUUGAGAAUGUUCGACAACCCGUUGACUGUUGGGCCGGAUCCUAAUUCGAAACAAGUGGGCCGAGCUCAGGGAAUCCAUGGAUCGCCAUCAUUGAGUGAGUUGGCCUUAUUUUUCGACUUCAAUUUUGUGUUCACUAAUGGGCCUUAUAAUGGUAGUAGUGUAAGUGUAAUGGGCCGGGUUGCGGAAUCGCAAGAAUACAGAGAAUUGUCGAUUAUUGGUGGAUCCGGUGUUUUCCGGCUUGCUAAAGGUGUCGCUACUGGGAAGACUUAUUUUUCUAAUGAUAAACUUGUUAUUGUUGAGUAUAAUCUUAUAAUAAUUCAUUAUUGAAUUCUUGUUUCGAUGUAAAAGUCGCUACUACUUUAUUGAUAAACUUAUUAAAACAAAGUUUUUAUUGACUUAUGAGAGGGGACGACCUUAGGCGAAGGAUGAUCCCCCGGUUACCCUCUAGAUUCAUCAUAUGCGGUAUUUUACUUCCUCCAUUUCAAUUUACGUAUCUUAAUUUGAUUAAGCACAAAGUUUUGAAAAAGUAGAUACGGAAACAUUUUAAAUGUUGUAUUCUUAAGUUAAAAAUAUGUGUAUAAUAUACCAAAACACUUCCAUGACCGUGCCAACCAAAUGAAGAGAUAUGGUCCAAGAAGUAGUCGACGAAGAGAAACUAGUUGAUAUGGAAGACUCGAUCAGCACAAUGUUUAAUCUCUACACUAAUCGAAAAAAGAUGUCCAUUGAGGAUCACAUGGAUUCGUAGAAAACAAUAGGAAAACGAUAAACAUAUCAAAAUAAUUAUUGAGCAGUACUUCCAAUCAAAGAAAAGAUAAGACCAUUUGAUGGGCAAUGGGGAAAUUGAGGGCCACUAUGUUUGGUAAAGAGACUGCAGAUGAUCAUGAUUCUGCUUUGGCUCUUCCACUUGGCCUUUAUGUUUUGUUAAUAAUAUACAAGAACAAGCAUCCAUCCAACUCGGAAACAAACUCUAGCCAUCAGAAUAUCGUAAAACAAUAUCAAGACUAAGGAAAACAUAAAGAAGAAGAAGAAGACCACAGAACCGCACUUGCAAUAGCCAAUUCUACUUGCUAUAAUGUUAACCCAUUUUUCAUCAUCAACAUUUAAAAACCUAACUAAACAAGACUUGAAGUUUGAGUCUAGGAGGAUUAACCCGAAAGAGUUUACAAGCAAAGCCAAUCUCAGCAUUAUGAUAAUAAACAAAAUUGGAAAUUGAAGACGAGCGUAAGCUAAACUCUUCUUAGGCUACAAUGGCAUGCCUUUGGAUGAUCUGGAAAACCACUUUUCCUAGCGAAGCCAGACAGUGCAAGUCCUUCCUUUCUUCACAAGAAAAUAAAUUGCAUCUGCACAUUGUUAGUUUAUAUCAACAAUGGAAGUUGUCAACAUGGAAACAACAUGCCACCUUGCAAACUACUUGGAAUCAAAUAUACAGCUAAAGCUGAAAUACACAGCAAUUUAAUCUGAACUACUGCUUCCUCCUAUGCUAGAACAGGAAACCUAAUUAAUUGCAUCUUUAAAGAAGAUAUAACUGCAUUAUGGCUGUUAAUUGGGAAGCAUCAUUUAGAUACAAGAUCACUUUUCCUUGAACACAAUGCAAAUAAUGCUUCAAAAGCAUAGGAACAUUUUCCAGUAAAUAGCAAACUUCAUAUAAAUCAAUCCAGCUCUCACUCCAACUAGAUGAACACUCAGUAGUCUAAUUGUUCAGCAUUACUAGAUGCAGACCUGAAUUGGUUGGUGUGAAGAGGAACAAAAUGGUAGUACAACCCUGCAGCAUUACUAAACGGAAUUGGGCUUGAUCAAUUUAAAGCAAAUUAUUUGCAUACUUUGUAUGCCCACAAAGAACUUCUGCCCAUUGCACAGUCAUUUGAUACGGGUAUAUCUAAAGCAAAAUGAGAAGUCUACAUUACAAGGUAUAAGACAAGUUGUUUUACAAUCAACUCUACCUAGUCUUAACCACAGUAGGACAAAUUUUUAGGUCACUGAUGGAAUUCUGAUUAUCAACUUCACCAUUCUCCAACAUAGAGUAAGACAUUGAGUAAAUAUUUGAACAGUAGAAUUUAUCCAACAUCAAAACAGAGGUUCUUUUUUUUGAAAUAGAACAUCAAAACAGAGGUUCUUCAUCAGAUUGGAAAAGGAUGUAUUUAGACAGAAACAUAAAAAAUGCUUUUAACUUUUGGCAUGCAUUCUUUCUAUAUAUCAUUGCACCAGAGGUUAUGGACAUGAGAGUAGAAAUUUUGAAGCGGCAAACAGAUCACGUCAUCCACUCUUAUGGGAACAGAAACAGGUAAAAGGGUUUUUCCAUUUUCUCCCCCUUCUAGUUUUCUUUAUUGCAUAAAAAAUUUUCCAGCAUCAUUAUCUUGAUGCACCCUAAGGUUUUUUACCAAAGAUUAUAACCAAACAGUGUGCGAUAACAGUGAAGGCCAAGUAUAAAGUCAAAAUACAUAUACAAUGCAAGUACAAGGACUACAAAUGCAAUUCAUUAGUGGUCAAACACGAAAAACAAGAACCACAGCAGAUCCCAGUUGAGAAACUAUGCAAACAGAUGGAGAUAACCCAAAAGCUAUUGAAACUAGAAAGCAGUACCACUGUCAUGGAAGAAAAUAACUGUAAUACCAACAAAAUAACGUAUUUUACCCAUAAAAAAAGUUACAAAAACCACUUCAUAAAAUGCUCACGAGAAAUAACAGCAUGCAUUUUAAGGCUAAGAAAGAAACUAGGUAAAAAAAAAAUGAGUACUCACGUUCAGUGAUGCCGAUCAGCUAAUGGCCACUAUAGAAGUGAUUUGUAAGUCACCAAAUGGUUGUAUGGUGCGCUGUCUGGCCUUAGUUUCAUCAUCAUCCAUAUUGUGCUGGUUGAGAGUAGCUAAUCAGCUUUCUGACAAGUGGAAUUAAGCUUAUCAAAGCAAUCUGAAGCUGUUCUGAGCUGUUCAAACGGAUACUGACUUGUCCAGACCCUUUAUUGUUAAUGUUGACACGGCCAAUCAAGUUUGUGUAUCGUCCAAUAGGUAUCUGCGUUUGUGAAUUGCAUCCGAUAGCAAGAUCUCCAUGCCAGUCCAUAACCGAGAGCCCCAAGGUUGAGAGGAAACGACCAAGAGGAUAAUCUUUGUCUCGCAACGUCGCUUCCAAACUACCACCAUAAGCAGCAUCACCACGGCCAAACAUGGCUCCCCCAGACACAACCAACGAUCCCCGUCUAUUAAAAGUCAACCUGUCCUCAAUUUUCACACCACCUGUCAUGACGUCACCUAAGAGAGUCACUGAAAGACCAGCUGUCGCCUUAUUCUUCCUAUAAUUGCAGAAUCUGGUCUCACUGCGAAGAGUAUAAGCUAGGUCUUUACCAACUGACUGCAUAUCAAAACCUAAAGAAGUUGCUUUUCCAUGCCCAUGCUUUACUGAACUUGCAAUUUCCAUUUGAAGAUUGGUGUCCUUUUUGUCCUUUGAAACCUGACUGGACAAAGAUAUAGGGAUCUUGUCUUUGACAACAAACAAUCUUUCUACAUUGAUGCCCUCAUAACCAACAUCAUGGUCCCAACCGUUGGGUUCUAGGACAGGCCUCACAAGCCACUGAUUUGAAGAAUCCAGAUAUCGAUAUCUAUGAGUUGGAUUAUCAGAAUCAAAUGAAGCAGGUAACGCCAAGUCUGGCAUGGGUACUGGCACUGAUGAUGCACCACCAGUUUCUUCAUCUACAUUUUCGCUGGGAUCAGUUGGUGGUAAACUUUCAGCCGCAGCUUGCAUUUUCUUCAUCAUCUUCCGCCUCUUCCUCUCUUCCUUCAACUGCUUUUUCAUAAAGAGCUUUUCCCUGUAUUCUAACUCAUCAUUGUAGGCCUUCUUCUGCUCUUUGGACAACUUUGCCAGCUGUGCUUUGGUCAAGCGCUUGAAAGGUGGCAGUUGAUCAUAUUCUGAUUCAUCUUCCGACUCUGAAGACUCAUCCAGAUCAUCAUCUAAAGCCUCGUCAUCAUCAUCAAAUUGCUCUGCUGGUAGUUUAACCUGUGGCCUUGACUGUAGAAGGGAUGACAAUAGGAAAGGUAAAGGAGGGGAUCUUGUUCUAGUGGCAUAAGGCUGUCCUGGUGCGCUACUAUCUUGUAAUUUAAGCAAUGUAUUUGCUUCAGCCAAAAUUUUUGAUGCAAAUGACAGAAGUAACAAGUGAGGCCUCCAAACCUGUCCAUUAGGCAGCACCCUCUGUCCAGCCCUGUUAGUCCUGCAUGCUGAGUGAUUCUCAACUAGCGAAACAGGAUUCAUAAGGCGCAUAUCUCCAGCAGCCUGACGUAUUGCUUGCUGGACAACAUGAGAGCGCUGAGUUACAAACAUGUCAUAGCUUGUUACAGUACCAUUGGGGCCUUCAGGUGGAGCAGACGCAGCAUGUGUCAGAACAACUAUGGCAUUAAACCAUAUUGAUGGUCCAAAAAUUUCAGUAAUUGUCCUCAACAAUGGCAUAUCACCAUUAUCUCUGCUCUGCAUAUCCAACCUGUCAAGAUACAGAACAAUAUCUGGGGGUGUCUUCUUAAUAAACCUUUUGACAGAAUGAAGGAUCUUCUCAUUCUGGCGCUGGUCUGACCAGGAAGGAAGAAGCCCAGGAGUGUCAAUCACCCGAACCUUGAUUCCCUGCACAGUGCCAACAACAUCCUGAACCUUUUUUGUCCCUAUCUGGAAAGCAUCAGUGUCAAACUUAACUUCAUCAAAUAUCGAAUUUAUGGUUGCACUUUUACCAACACCAGUUUUUCCAAGAACCAUUAUUGUACAAGAGAAGUCCAGGGGUUCUUGUCCAGCUGCCUCAAGUUGCUCAGCCAUAGCACUUGCACGAUCAAAACUAAAAGCACCAACACGACCUCCACUUCUCCCCCGCAGCUGUUCAGCCAAUCCCAAUCUAUACAAGACUUGGGCAACAACCACAUUAUGUGGAGUCUGUCCAUUCCUAUGAGCUAGACGCAAAAACUUGACUCUUAUCAUCUGGAGCUUCUCACGUGUCUCAUCAUAUUCAUCAGCCUCUCCAUUUGUAGAUUCUUCAACAAGCUGGUUUUGUGCAGGAGAUGCUGUUCCAUUUACACGAGGCUGCUGAACCACUCGGGGAGCCGGUUCCAAUAGUGGGGCAGCACGACCAAGGCCGGCAGGUGCCGGUAUCCGAGUUGCAGAUGCAUUGGAAGAUGAUGGGUGCUCCGUUGCAGAUCUGGCUUCAGGUUCCCUAACCCUAGGAACACUUUGUUUCAGGCCCUUUACAACAACUGACACUGAUUCCUUCUCUGCAACUUUCUCAACUCCAACCCCUGCAUCUUGAGAAACCUUCGAGACCUUCUCAUGAUUGUCAGACGGCAACGCUUCUGAUGAUUUAGACAUUUCAUCAUCUGCAGUCACUCUACCCCUUACUGAAAUUCCGGUAUGGUUCACAGAAGCUGAAGAGUCAGAAACGGAAACAUCUUUCUGCUCAUUGGUCCUGUCAUUCAAAUUUCCUGGUUCCAUAGUAGGGGACUCAUUUAAUUUCAGUCCUUGAUCAUCAGUAGCAUCACCCAUUAGUUCUGGACCAGUUGAUUCUUUUUCUGUCACUUCUGCCUUUACGGGGAAGUGUCCUCCUUGUAGAAUAGAAACAGAGUCGUUGUCUGAACCAUCUAUCUGCUGUUCAUCCUUAUUACUAAUGUUAAUUGGUUCUGGACUACACACGGCCUUUUCUCCAUCUAACUGCUGCCCUUCAUCUUUAUUACUACCGUUAACUGGUUCUGGACUAAUGGCUUUUACUCCAUCUAGCUGCUGCUCCUCAUCCUUAUUACUUCCGUUAACGGGUUCUGGACUAUGCACUGCUUUUACUCCAUCUAUCUGCUGCUCCUCAUCCUUAUUACUACCGUUAACUAGUUCUGGACUAGGCAUUGUUCUUUCUACAUCUAUCUGCUCUUCAUUCAUAUUAUAACCAUUAAUCCGUUCUGGACUAGGCCCUGCUUCUUCUUUGAGUUCAUCACUUGGGUUCAAGCUUUCACUGAGGUGACCAUUUGUGGAAGCAUCAUUAGGGAAAAUAUCUUUCUGCUCUUCAUCCUUAACAUCAGAAUCCAAAGAUUUAAGCACUCCUUCCCAUUCGGUAUCUCCUUCAUCUUUCAGCACAGAGCCAGAACUAACUGAGACAUUGUUGUGGACGUCAGCAGUGUCCUGAUGCCCAGCAGGCUGAACAGCAGAUGUUUCAAACACAUCAACCUUCUUUUCGUCAUGCAGCAAAGCAUCUUUGUAUGAAUGAACCUGGUUCUGCAGAACAUUAUUACCCGCUUCCGCCUCAUUGGCAUCCUGAGCAUCCAAUUUUCCAUGAACCUCUUGAUCCUGUUGAUCAGAAUUUGUUUCCUUUGCAUCAUCAUGACUUUGAGUUCCUCCCAAGUUCACAUGAUCGAAAACUCCAUUGUCAAAUUCAGUUGGUUCACCAGAAUUAUCUUUCCUUUCAUCCCAAUUUACUGAAGUUUCAGUUUCUAUAGCAGCACCCAGAUCUGCAACCUCAGACAUGUCAUCUUUACCCUUCCCCACUAUGAUAUUCUUCUCAACCACUUCUGUUUCAUCCGGUGCAGCGAUUUCAUGAGAACUUUGCUUCUCAACUGAAGGCUCCUCUUUCAAGAUAACAUCCGCCUUCUGAUUAGACUCAUCAUCAGUAUGCUGCAUCUCAUGCAAAACUUCAACCGCUUCCUCAAAGUUCUCAACAUCGUCCCUUGACUCAGAGUUCCUACUGUCCUCAAUAGAACUAUUAAUAUCCCCAGAGUUGCCAUCAUUUCUUCCCUCACUAACAACUCCAUCCUCAACACCAAAACCAGGAGAUUCUGGCUCUAUUGCCUCCUCAAAUACUUCAUCCCCUUCCGAUUCCUUUGAUACAUGUGACACCACAGCUACCUUAUCCUCCUGCCGCACUUCAAUAGUUUCAUCUACUACACCAUUCCACUCGUCCAUUCGGGCCUUGCCAAAUAUUUCCUCCCCAUUUUCCAUCAUAAAUAAACUUCAACAAAACCUAGAUCCACAGAACAAAAUCAACAUCAAACAGAAUUAUAAUCACAAAAAAAUAACAGUAAAAGAAAACCAAAUCACAAAACUAUCAGCAGUAAACAAAAAUCAAGAAAAGAAAAAAAACUAGCACCCAAAAGACCAAAUUAGCUAUUCCGACCCAUAAAGCAAUACAAACUGAUAAAACUCCAUCAACUACUGUAAAAUUUUAAAAUAGAGCUCAGAAUACCCAAUAGAACUUUUUUUUUCAAGAAUUACAAAUCAGCAGCAAACAACAAUCAAGGCGAAAAACCCAAACAUCCAAAGGACAACAUUAUCUAUUAGUACCCAUGAACCAACCAGACGAAUUAAAACCCAAUUAACCAUAUCAAAUGAGAUCUUACAAUAGCUUAGACUACAAAUCAGUAUUCUCUUCAAUUCUAAUCAAACGAACUAAAACCCAGAAAUCCAAUUAACCAUAGUAAAAAGAGAUCUCACAAUAACUUAAACUAUACGUCUAGAAUUAAAUAUCAGCACCAUGAGUCAAGCCAAAAAUAAACCCUAGCACCCAAAAAAUCACAUUAUCUCGUCGGACCCAUAUAGCAAAUCCAAAAAGACUAAAAACCCAGAAAUUGAAUCAACCACAGUUAAACAGCUCAGAUAACCCAUUUCUAUGAAUUAAAACCCCCAGUAUAAAGGAUACUAACAAAAACAGUAGAAAUGACCAAAAGAAAAGCGAAAAGUACCUGUCUAUGUCGAUUCUGAUCCGUCUACGUAGAUUACGAUGAUGAUGAUGAUGAUGAUGAAGAUGGUGAAAGAAAAAAGGUGUUGGUUAAGAUUGGUGAAAAGAGAGAAAAGAGAGGAUCUUCCUUGUGGUUACCUCAAUUUCUGAAGAGGCGAAAAAAGGAAAAAGAAGAGCAGUAGGUGAAGUUUUGAGAGGAUAAGGGGUUUAUCGACGGAUUCAGAGGGUUAAGGGAUUUCAGAUCCAACGGUCCUAAAAAUCACACUCUAUUUCUUUAUUUAUCACGUGUUCUCUAUCACUAUUUCAUUUGUUUGUUCCCUUUUCAUUUAAUAUAAAAUUUAAAUUAAUUAAAAAAAAACUGUAUUGAAAAAAAAAUAUUAAUUAGAUUUUUCUUUGUGUGUGUUUAUAUUUUAUGAUUAAUGAGUUUUAUAUAUUCUGACUACAUUUAGAGGUGUGGGUGGGGACUCUUAAUGACAAACAUUGAGACGGAAAAUAAAUAGUAGUAGUUCUUUAUCUUAUAAUAUUUUAAUUAAGAUUGAGUUGGGUCGAAUAUCUAAUAAUUUGAUUGGAUUCAAAUCUUCGAAUUUAAACUGUAGUUAAGAUUUUUAAAUUUUUAAAUUUUAUUUUGAGCUAGUUUAAUUUGUAGUUAUGGUCAUUAACCAUUUCAUCAAUUAGAUUAGCCUAAGAUAUAGAAUAAUAAUCUAUGAUAGUUAACUUUAAAUGAUGGUACAACUUUUAUACUAUAUUAGUAAUUUAAUGCAUGUAACCUACAUCUUUUAUAUGUGGAGGCUUCAUAUAAACGAGAUUAAGCAACAGUUUAAAAUUAAAUUGUGGUAUAAUGAUCUUUUGCUAAUUUACUGAUGAAGCAACCGAUGGUGAUGAAUCGUUAGAUUAUAAGAAAAUACUCUAAUUUUUAAAAAAAAAUUAUUUACAUGCCACUUAAUUCAGUUUAACUCCUUUUUUCUAUUUUAAGUUUUUAACACACUUAUAAAAGUAACCUAAUUUUAAAAAGCGACUUUCACAUAUAGCAAAUAGAGUUGUCAAUAUGGGUUGGUCCACCUCAUCCGAGUUAAACUAUACAUGCUUUGAAAUUUGAUGGGUCAGGUCGGGCUAGCCCAUUUUUUGUGUGGGCCAGAAAAUGGUUGGCCCAGCCCACAAGUACGUGGUGGCUUUGUUGGGCCAACCCUCUUUUCUUAAAAGUAUAUUUUUUUAUAAUUUUCUAAAUUAAAUUAUAAUUUAAAAAUAUUAUCAUAAAAUAUCAACUAGACAAUAUUACAUGGUGUUAGUGUUACUAGUUGUUAAUCAAAUACACAAAUAAAAUUAUAUUUAUAAUAUUUAUUGAGUUUGAUUUCAAGUAAAAGCAUAAAUAACUAAAUAGAAAUAUUAACCUAAUUAUUUUCCAAUAAUCAUAAUAAAACACAAAAACUAUGACAAUAUUCCAUAGGCUAUGGCAUAUGUAGUAAUUCCCUAGAAAUUUUAAGGAAUUUUUAUUUUAUGUAAUACAUAUUUUAUAAACAUAAUUUGUAUUUAAAUUGUAAUAUUUCGAACUUUAAACAGAUUUUGAGUUUAGACUCUUAUUAUUUUUAAUAAUCUAUUUUAUUUUUAUUUGGCCCACGGGUCGGCCCUAUCCAUAUUUCUGAAGUCCUACAAAUUGGCAGGCUUAUUCAGGUCGAGCUAAAAAGUCAUUUUCUUAAAUGGGCUCAAAAAAUCGUAGUCCAGCUCUAUCAAAUCACGGAUUAGGUCAGGCCGGCCCAACGGGCCUAACCCAUAUUGACGGCUCUAAUAGCAAACAUAAAAAUCAUAUUUGUAUGUUAUAGUUAUGGUUUGCAUAAUUGCACUCCAUAACAAUUUUUAUGUUUGCUAUGGAGCUUUUGAUUUGUAUAAUUCGCUAGAUACAUCCUAUUUAAUAUAAAUUGUUCAGUUUUAUAUAUAUUCAUUUAUACAUUGUAAUUUGUAUAAUUAUAAGUGUAUAGGACGAAAAUAUAUGUAUUUGUAUUUGUAUAUACACUUUUCUCUCGCGUUAUACAAAUACAAACACAAAUACAUUUAUACCGAAAUGUAUAAAAUGGCUAAUUGUAUAUCAAAAAUGGCUAAUUGUAUACCGAAUCAGAUGGCAAAAAAAUGGGAUAUUUACUGCGAAUUACAAAUAAAACAAACUAUGGCUAUAACAUUUAAUUUGAAUCAAGAGUUUGUUAUUUCAUACAAUUUUCUCAACUUUAAAUAUAGUUUAAGCAUCAUCCGUUCUUGAUGAACUUGACAUACUUACAUAGGUAAGUGGUAACCAAUAAUUUUACGAGAUAAAGGAAGAUUGCAUUUUAAGCCUUUAUCUUAAAGCCCGUUUUUAAAAAGAGAAAUGUUACCAAUCCAUAAAAAUGGGCUGGGAAGCCCAAAUGGAAAUUGUUCAUUGGUUUACUUGUAUGUAUACAUUAUUAGUCAUAUAUAUAAAAAAACUGCAUCCAUUUGUAAGUUAUUAAUUUUAAAUUUCGAAUCCGUCUCUAAACUGAAGUACAUGUUUGUCCCAUGAUUAAGUUAUUAGCCAUAUCUUAUAACUUCAUGAAUCUUGUUGAUAUGAUAGAUCUCAACUAGGAGUGUUCGUGGUUCGGUUUAGAUCGGUUAUCGGUAAAAACAUAAAUCAAAUCAGUCUAGUCGGUUUUUUUAAUUUCUAAAACCAAACCAAAUGAAAAAAAUAAUUGUCGGUUUGGUUUAGUUUUCUAGUUUUUUCGAUUUGAAAAGUAAUAAAUUUUUAGAGGACAUACGUAUCUCGAUAGACAAACACCUAGUACAUGAACAAUCCACGGGAAAACUAUUGUCGAUUCAGUUAAUCAAUUAAGCGAAACUAUAAUUAUUAUUACACGAACAAAGUGAUUCAAUUAAUGUGUGACUAUCUUAUGUGAGAUAGGGUAGGUAAAGACCAAGGUAUUAGAUUUUGUUGGACUUGGACUUGGACUGAGGAUUGUAAUAGUUGGGCUAAAAUUUAAGUGGUGGGCUUGAGAAAAUGGUAAAGUUAAAGGCAAGUUAAUUAAAAUUUAACAAAAUAUUUAUAUUUUAUUUAUGAAUAGUAUAUAAAUAAUUAUAAAAUUUAUAUACCUAGUUUAUCGGUUCGAUUUGGUUAUUUUUGCGGUUGUUUUUUAGUAAAACAAAAACCAAACCAAAUAGUAUCGAUUUUCAAAAUUUAAAACCAAAUCAAACCAAAUAUCCAAAAAAAAAUUAUUGAUUUAGUUUGAAUUACAGUUUGAUUUGAUUUUUUAACCAUAACCAUGAAUAGCCUAUUCUCAACAUAUUAUUGAGAAGUUUUUAGUCAACAAUCUUUAAAAUAAUCUACCUUUUUUUCUUAGUAUGAGUUUUAUAUAUUAAAAUAUAUAAAAAUAAUAAUUAUAAAUCAAGUCAUGAUGUAAUUGCAAACAACUUUAUUUAACAACUCUGAUUUUGGGACCUAUAAUAAAUGAUAAACACCAUGAUAAGUUAGAGAGUUACACUAAUAAUACUCUAAGAAAUUCAACAUACUAUAAUUGUUUAUGACUUAAAUCUUCUCCUUUUUAAAAAGUGACAGAUCACUUUCACCUGCUACACGUUUUAAUACUUUUCACUUCAAAUAUUACAAGAAUCACAUUCAAUAUUUUGAUUAAUAUAUCAUUAUUGUGUUCAUAUUGGUUGUUGAAACUUCUUGUAUAAUUCUAAGAUGUCGCAUAUGCUUAUUCAUCCACGUUUGCCAUUUGGAACAUCAUGACAAAUCGAGGGUACUUUAUGUAAUGACUAGGAUUGAAUUAAAUUUUCUUUAUCUAAUUAUUAAAGAGAAAUAUAUUUUUUAAUAUUUUCGUAUCAUAAUAUUUCAUUAAUUAUGUCUCACGUUCUUAAAGAAUUUAUGUCCUAUUAUGCUUAAUUCGAUUUCUAAAAUCAAAAAGUAAAAGUGAACCCAUAUGAAGGACAAAUCAUACCAUUAAAUACUAUUACCGAUAAUUCCUAUGAAGCAGGCCAAUCUGUAUCUAACUAAACCAACCCAAUUUAAAAUUUGUCCAAACAAUACCCGAGUUAUUAAAAAUAUUUAAAAGGAAGUUUCUUUAUUUUUCGUAAUUGGAUAAAGUUUCUACUAUAUAUGCAUUGGAAAAAAAGAGAGGCGUUAUAAUGCAUAUAAAUAUUAAACGCAGAAAGCUUAAUUUUCUCCAACUACAAACGUCAUAGAGAAAACUUCCCAGAAGAAGAGAACUGCUAAAUUUCUUCUUCUAUUGUGAAAAUGGGUUCUUUUUUCUCUAAACAAGUGCAAAGAAGAAAAUCAAUUCAUACUCAGAAAAAACUUUUGUAUGAUCUCAAGGAAAAAAAUAACACUGAUUUUCCUGGUUCUGAUUAUCACUCAGAUGAUCGAAAAAAUUGGAUGUCAACCCUCGUCCUAGAGAAACUCAACAUAAACAAGAUAAUUUGGCCCGGUACCCAUGAUUCAGCAACUAACAAAAUUGGGAUCCCAUUUAUUUCUCGCCCGUUCGCCCGAACCCAAUCUCUGUCCAUUUACAAACAGUUGGUAACGUUAAAUCGUGUGAUCAAUCUCUUUGAAUUUUAUUUUAUUUUUUAUUUACUUAAUUAUAUUUUUAACAGGUAAUGGGCACCCGAGUUCUUGACAUUAGAGUUCAGGAAGAUGGCCGUGUCUGUCAUGGCAUCCUAGUUUCUUACCAUGCUGACGUUGUGAUCAACGAUGUGAAGAAAUUCCUGUCGGAGACUCAAUCGGAGAUCAUAAUUCUCGAGAUCCGAACAGAGUUUGGACACGAUGAUCCACCGGAAUUCGACAAGUACUUAGAGGAUCAAUUGGGGGAAUUUCUUAUUCACCAAGACGACUCUGUUUUCAACAAGACAGUAGCAGAGUUAUUGCCGAAAAGAGUAAUAUGUGUUUGGAAACCAAGAAAAUCACCUCAGCCAAAACAUGGAAGUUCAUUAUGGAGCGCUGGGUAUUUAAAGGACAAUUGGAUUGACACUGAUUUGCCUGAAACAAAAUUCGAGAGCAAUUUGAAAUAUUUGAGUGAGCAGCCAUCGGUAACAUCCCGGAAAUAUUUUUACAGAGUGGAGAAUACGGUGACGCCUCAGGCUGAUAAUCCGGUGUUGUGUGUGAAACCGGUGACGAAUCGGAUUCGUCCAUAUGGGAGGUUGUUUAUAAAUGAGAGUAUUUCUAGAGGUUAUGGUGAUCGGUUACAAAUAUAUUCAACUGAUUUUAUUGAUGAGGAUUUUGUGGAUGCUUGUAUUGGACUUACAAAUGCAAGGAUUGAAGGCAACGUGACUUUGAGUACAAGGUGAAGAUUUGCCAUGCUUUCCUUCAACUAAUCGUACGUGUCAAUUUAUGUUGUUUCAUUAAUAUGUGGUUGUUCCGUGUUCGUAUGUAUUUUAAUUAUUAUUAAUUACCACUUGUUACUAGGUAAAAUAAUGUUUGCUUAUGAAUUUCAGAUUAUAUAUGUUGUUAAAUUGCGUGUAAAUGAAUUUAUUGUAAGUUGUACUGAAAUUCCACAUUAUUUGGAAGGAUAAGAGUAAUCAAAGUUUUGAUGAGAGGAGUAUUAGCAAGGAAACAAAAAUUAUAAAAGAGAAUUUAUGAUUUAUCUUAGUAGCUUUUGUUUGUUGUUACUACUAGUUGAUAGACAUGGUACAUAUAACACUAUAUAUUUUGCAACUCUUACUUUAGAGCACGGUCUGGAUUUGCGCAUUGAAUAGUCUCACUCAAAUAAAAUCGAUACUUGAUUGCGUUAAUGUGGGUAAGAUUUCAAAAAAUGUAAAGUUGGAUAAAAAUGAUAGGUAAGUAGGUAGCUACACACCUUAUUGAAUUGGACCCCCAAUUCAAUAAGUAGCUAGUAUAUUUAUGUUGACUUGAGGCAUGAACCCAACUAUAUAUGCCUGAGUUUAUGUUGCUACAAUCAAUCAAUAUAUAUGUGUUAUAACUGUUUUUUUUAAAUACACUAUGGUUGUUUGGUAAGAAAUUGACAUAUUGUAUUAUAAGGUGUAAUUAAAAUGUGUGAUAAAUGUAUUAUCGAUCAAUAAAAACUUGCAUUAUAUGUGAAUAAUAAAUUGUUCUUUGUAAUAUGUAUUAAAAACAGUAUUAUAAAUAUAUUAAAAGUGAUCAAGUGAAAAAAAAUGUUAUUGCUAUAAAUGGUAAAUAUUUUAUUAAUAUACUAGUAUAUUUAUGAAGUUUCCUUUGAUGGAUUAUCCUACUUCACUUGUCUCAUAAACAUUUUUUCAGAAUCUUAUCAUUCCUCCUUGCUAAUGCAUUGACUUAGGGUCCAUUAAGCCAUGCGAUAUAGAAUCAUGAUAUGAAAUCAUAAUAUUAAAUCAUGAUAUGGAGUUGGAGUUUUGUUUGGAUAUGGGAUAUAAAAUUUUUGUAUUGUAUAUUUUUUCAUAAACAUAAAAAUCUCAUAAGUUGUGAAACUAUCUUACCAAAUAAAAAAAAUUAUAACAUCGCAUAAUAAAUUAUUACAAAGUUAUUUGUUCUCCACUUUAAGAAACUGUUUCAUCUAACUUUAAUUUAUCAAACUUUAAUUCUAUUAAAAAAUAAUUGAACAUAAUUAAUUGUAAUGUACUACUCUUUAAUAUAAUCCUCCACAUAGUAUGAACAAUCUCCUCACGUUGAACUUGCAUUUCUCGAUCAUAUGACCGAGAAGACGAACCAACAUUGUUACGUUUGAGCCAUUUGUUGGUCAAUAUCAUUCGCAACUAUAUUUUCAUGCUCAUAGACUAUAACUAUUUUAUCACUUCUUUGAUAAUCUCGCAAAUAAUUAUGUAACACUGUAAAAGCUAUGACAAUUUUCACUUGUGUGUCAAUAUCAUAAUGGUUCAUGCCUUGUUUCACUUGUGUGCAAUUACACAUUUUCUGUGCAUUAAUUUCGUGUUAAAAUCAAACAUAUUGGAAGUAGUGAUUAUCAAACAUACAUCACCAAUUUUGUAAUUUUUCAUAUUAAAUUGCUUUAAAUAUUUUCAUAUGUAGCCGAAAGAGAAGUUUUUUUAUUAUGAAAAACCAAAAAAGUAUUACUCCCUCCGUUCUUAUUUAUAUUCACCAAAUCAAUUCCUACUUUAUCAUUUAUAUUCACCAAAUUUAAAGUAAUAAUAAAUUUUAUGUUGGUGAGAAUAAUAAUUUUUAAAAAGUAAUGAUGUGAUUAUAAAUUUUAUUUACAUAUGAAAUAAAUGGUUAGUAGAUAUAAAUGUGUGGUUGUUUUAACAAAAUAUAAACUUGUGAGUCGAUUUUUGUAUUUAAAAAAUCUCAAAUCAUGAUAUGGAAUUCUCAAAUCAUGAUUUUUGGAGAAUAUGAGAUUCUAUCUCAUGAUAUGAUCGCAUGUCCAAAAGUUGAUUCUAUCUCACAAUUUCAUACUGUGAUAUGGUAUCGUAGGGCCAAACCCCACUUAAAAGAGUAUAACUUUGUCGCAUCAUUAGAUUAGAUAAAUUUACAAUAAUAUGUAGCUAUUCAUAUCAAAUGACAUGAUAACAUAAAAUAUAAAAUAAUAACCUUUAUAACUAAUUAAAUCAUAUAAUGGUUUAAAAAAAUGCUUUAGAACUUCAAUUUUUUGUGUUCGAACUGCAGAGGAUUCAUAUAGGGAAACUUCCAUAAAUAUAUAAUUCCAUUCUUCAUUUAUAGUAUUUUCAUGGGUUUAGGAGAUGAAUGUGACCAAACCAUAAAGAUGGGCUGGAAAGCUGGAAGCCCAAAUUUAUUUCGCCUAAAUGCAUCUGUGCUUUGAAAUUAUAAUCUCUAUUUUGUUACAAAUCCAUUUAAUAUGGAUGUUUCUUUAAGGUAGUAAACAGAUGAUUUCUACCUCUUAUAAAAGGGUCUUCUUCACCCUUAAGAAAUACACAAUUGAAGAGAUUAAAAUAAGGCUCUCAACUUUAUACUUUCCAUCACACUUUGCCUUACUUUCUUGUUUAAGUAUUCUUGCAUUUUCCUCUUGUUUUACAACAUAUUUUAAUUUAUUUGUUUUAGUUACUAUUUGGAUAGUAAUAAUGAUUUUUUAAAAUAUUUUUUAAACAUGUGAAUUUUAUUCCUUUUUUUAAAAAAUAUAAUAAAUUUUAAUUCAUAAAAUUAUAAUUAAUUUAAUCCUAAUACUUUAUAAGCCAAACAAAUUAAAAGAAAGAGAGUAUUAAAUUUCUAGUUGCAAAAUGUUUGAGUAUAAUCUCAUCUGACCUGUUACAAUUUGACUAUUAAGAUCAUAAAAAUCUCCUAUAUUUUACGUAUCAAUCCCAUCUCCUAGAAAAUGAAACAUAUAGUUUUGUACCUUUUCAAGUCCCGGAUUGGACUUGUAAAAUAUAUCAUAUUGUCACAUUUUCUUGGAUGAUAAUUCUCAUAAUUGUUGUUAAAUUCUCCAAUUGCCAUCUGGCUCAUGCCUAACCAGCCAACUGGAAAAAUAAUAAAAUCAAAUUCAAUCCAAAAAUCAUAAAAUAAAAUAUUACUAACAAUUGUGACUUUCUAAAUUUGUAUCAAUAAUUCCAAUGAAGCCGACCCCUCAGUAGUUAAGACAACUGGACCAAUUCACUUUGAAGACAUGUCAACACAACAUGGAUAUUAAAAAUAUUGAAAAGGAACUUGCUUUAAUUGUCAUAAUAAUUGAUGUAUUAGAAAAAGGAAAAAAAAGGCGUUAUAUUAAACGCAAAAAACUUAAAUGCUUUCCAACUAUAAACAUUAGAGAGAAAGAAAAAAGAGAUUGUAUUUCUUUUUGAGGUAUUGUGAAAAUGGGUUCUUUUUUGUCUAAACAGAUGGAAAGAAGAAAAGCAAUUAGUACUCAGAAGAAACUUCUUUGUGAUCUCAAGGAGAAAGAUAGCACCGAUUUCCCUGGUUGUGAUCAUUGCCCAGAAGAUAGGAAAAAUUGGAUGUCAACACUUGCCCUCGAUAAACUUCACGUGAAUAAGAUGGUUUGGCCUGGUACACAUGAUUCAGCAACUAACAAAAUCGGGAUCCCAUUUAUUUCUCGCCCUUUUGCCCGAACACAAUCUCUCUCAAUUUACAAUCAGCUGGUAAUGUUAAAUUGUGCGAUCAUCUUACUACUAAGUUAUGUGAUUAUGGAGUACAUUUUUAUUUACUGUAUGUUUUUGAUUGAUAGGUAAUGGGCACCCGUGUUCUUGACAUCAGAGUUCAAAAAGAUGGUCGUGUAUGUCAUGGUAUUCUAGUUUCUUACAACGUUGACGCUGUGAUCAGCGAUGUUAAGAAAUUCCUGUCGGAGACUCAAUCAGAGAUCAUAAUUCUGGAGAUCCGAACAGAGUUCGGACACGAUGAUCCACCGGAAUUCGACAAGUAUUUAGAGAAUCAAUUGGGGGAAUUUCUUAUUCACCAAGACGACUCUGUUUUUAACAAGACAGUUGCAGAGAUAUUGCCAAAAAGAGUAAUAUGUGUUUGGAAACCAAGAAAAUCACCUCAGCCAAAACAUGGAAGUCCGUUGUGGAACGCUGGGUAUUUAAAGGACAAUUGGAUUGACACUGAUUUGCCUGAAACGAAAUUCGAGAGCAAUAUGAAGCAUUUGAGUGAGCAACAACCGGUGACAUCCCGGAAAUAUUUUUACAGAGUGGAGAAUACGGUGACGCCUCAGGCAGAUAAUCCUGUGUUGUGUGUGAAACCGGUGACAAAUCGGAUUCGUCCACAUGCAAGGUUGUUUAUAAAGGAGUGUAUUUGUCGAGGUUAUGGUGAUCGGUUACAAAUAUAUUCAACAGAUUUUAUUGAUGAAGAUUUUGUGGAUGCUUGUAUUGGGCUUACAAAUGCAAGGAUUGAAGGCAAGCUCUGAUGAUGUCAAGCUCUUAUUCUUUCCUAUUCCAGUUCUGCUUCAAGAAUAUUAUUAUGAGAAUUGAUUUCUUAGAUAAUCAUAGUUAUUAUCUCAGAAAAUCACUUUUGUUCUUAAUUCUAGUUUUCGACAACAAAGUAAGUGAUUUAUGAGGUAAGAAUUAUUAGUUGAGUGAUUGUUCGAGAAGUUUGACUCAAGAAUUAUCAGUUGUGUGUGUGUAUAAUUUUCAGUGUACUUAUUAAAUUCAUGUGUGUCUAUGUAUUGUUUUGUUACCACUUGUUACUUUGUAAAAAUUGCUUGGCUUGGAAUUUGAGAUUCUUAAAUGUAGUGAAAUUGUAGGUAAACGAAAUAAUAGGUAAGUUGUACUGAAAUUCACAUUGUUUGGAAGGAUAUGUAUUUUACACAAUUUACGUACAUGAGUAGUUUUUCACUAUUAGAUUAUUUUAAAAGAUAAUUACAAGUAAUGAUUUCUAAAUAGUGAGAUUAGUAAACUGAAAAAUAAGAACAAGUCAAAAUACACUUGACAAUGCGCCUAUAAUAGUACUGCGCAGUAAGUGUGGUGCCGGCCGACUAGUAAUUAGUGGUCGAUGUAUAUAUAUAAGUUAAAAAUAAAACAUAAGAAAAACAAUAUUCUAAAGUUUUCUCAAAUACGGCAAGAACGGAGUAAUAUAUUUCAAUUUCCUGUCACUUUCCAAUCUAUAUAUAUAAAGCUAGAUAAUAAAAGAGUGAUGUGGCACCUCUCAUUAUCCGGCAUUUACAUUUAUCCUUUUUCUGGUUUUUUUGGAUUUUUUUUCAAUUGUUUUUUUUUUAAUCUUUUUCUUUAUUUCUUAUAUCAAGUUUAAUGUUCAGAUGCCUAAAAGACCCUAUUAAAGAGGCAAACAUUCACGUAGUAAAAGUUGUCAUCAAUUCGCUUAAAUUUUUGGCUACUACUCCCAUUCUUUACCUUUUCAAUAGCAUUUAAACUGUCAUUAAUGUGAUUAUCCAUGGGUUAAUACCUCAGAUGGUCACUCAACUAUCCACUUUUGCCUCAGAAAGUCACUCAACUUUUAAUUUUCACUAAAAAGUCACCAUGUGAGUGACUUUCUGAGGAAAGACUGGAUAGUUGAGUGACUAUCUGAGGUAUUAACCCGAUUAUCCAUUAUAAACUGAUUUAGCAUUUUGUAUUCCAUGACCUGUGCCCUUUGGCAAUCAACUAGAUAUAUAUAUGGUAAAGUGAAGAGCAGAGUCUCCCACUCCAUAAUUUUUCGAGGGAAAUAUAGAGAGGCAAUACACAACUAUUACUAUCUAAAAUCUGAUUUUCCUUUUACCAUCUUGAUUGAGAUAUUGUGUGGAACAAAAGGCAAUUCUUGCCUAUGUUUCAAUAGAUUUUUUAGUGACCGUGCGAAGCGCGGAUAAGUUUCCUAGUUACCAAAUAAGCACAAGAAGAUAUUUAUUACUAACAUUCAGCAGCUUAUGCCGUGUGUCCCAAUUCAGUUCACAUCUAUAGGGCCAGAAGAAGAUUAUUGUAAAGAAAAAAUAUUUAUUUAUUAUGUAUGAUUGACAUAAAUGAUGAAAGUUAGGUGCUAAAGAGUGAUUGACGCCCAUUAUUUUUAUCCACGAACCCAAAUGAGUGAUGCACGAAAAAAUGAGUUUAUGAAGAAACUCUCUAAGCUGUCCUGGAAAAUCAAUUUUAUGGUGAAAAAAGUUUCGAAGUAACAGUAAAGUUAUGUAAUUUCAUGAGACAUAUGUAGGUUAUGAAUUUGAGUUGUGCUUACAUUAGAAUACAAUGUCUACAUCACACUCCUUGAGGUGGGAUUCUUUCCUGAACCUAUUAACGUGGAAUGCUUUGUGCACCAAACUUUCUUUUUAAAAAUAAAUGUUCUUUUAGUUGUACCGUCAUUUUCACGUGAGAACUUUGGUAUGUUCAUUUCUCUUAAGUCUGUCACCCCACCUAAACCAGACGGAAUUAAUAAUUAGGCAAAUGAUUCUACUUAGUCUAUGAUUUUGUCGACCAGAAAUUAGCUUCUUUUGGCAGCAAAUAUGAAGAAAAUGUCUGGUAAUUAUUGAAAAUUUUGACAACUUCAAGGUUAUCGAUACCUUUUACCGACAACUAAGUAGGCCAUUACAAAAUUAAGCUUCCUUCAAUAGUACUAAUAUAUACAAAUAGGAAAUAUAGAACAAACGAAUUGCAACAACAUUUUAUUGGAAAACAAAUGCAAUGAUUAACGUAGAAGCGAUAUUUAUGAUCAAACGCUAGCUCAGUAUUUUAAUCAAAUUCAGUAGAAUCAAUUAUACACAUUCUUGAAGAAAACACUUUUUGAUAACCAACUCUUAUUAUCAGUAAGAUUGUGUGUAUCUCGAUUAAAUAAAAAAUCCCACUUACUUGAUAACUAGAGCUGUCAAAAUGGGCUGGCCUAACUCAACCCAACCCAACCCUAACGGGCUAGAGAGUUAAAUGGGUUGGGAUGGGCUGACCCUUUUAAUUGAAGGGCCUAUAAAAUAGCAGCUCAACCCAGCCCUAAGCGGGCCAGCUCAACCAAAAAACGGAUAACAUUUUCCUCGUAGAAACAAUACGAACGCUGAUGAAUUACACAUACUUCAGUGAAUAUUUACAAAACAAAUACAUAAUAGCCACGAUACAACAUUCAUAAGUUUCAUCCGAGCAAAAAACAUUACAUGAUCACUAUUUUCAUAAACAAGACGAUAAAGGAGAAGUGAAAAAUUAGGCAUAAAAACAAAAGUAAAAGAGGUCAAAGAUUCUUAGUUUAUAAUGGACUUGGGCUAAUAAGAAAAUUUAGUGGGUUAAUGACCCUAAAAUGUAAAAGAUAUGUAAAAAAAUAUAGUCUUGAUUUUAUAUUGGUAUUUUAAAAUUAUUUAUUGACAAAAUCUUAACAAGUAAAACACUACUAAAAAUAUAUAUAAUAAAUAUUUUUAAAAUUCACAGCCCGCGAGCUGGCCUCUGAGGCUGCGGGUUGGGCCUACGAGGCCAGCUGGCCAAAUGAGGCUGGGCUAAAAAGCCUCGUUCCUAAAUGUCCUGGAAAAUUGAGUCUAACCUCAUCUAAUUCAAGGGUUGGGUUGGGCCAGCCUAGCGGGCCAAGCCUAUUUUGACAGCUCUAUUGAUAACACAUGGAUUUCUUCUUUGACAAGACAUAAUAAUUUUUAUUUAAGAUGUUGUCCAAUGCUUCAUAUGUCUAAUCCUAAACGUUCAAAGAUUCAAUUUAUAUAUAGUAUGAGUACCAGAUCUGUUCCAAUUAUUUAUAUAUAGUCCAAUUCUAUGCAUACAGAGUUUUUCAAAUUACAUAGAGUAAGUACUUUGUUGAGAAAUGUAGUGUUGACAUAUUUAUAUAAUUUUGUACAAUGUACAGUUUAUAAUUUAAUUAGUUUUUCUUCAAUAGAACUCUUAAUACGUUUUUAAUCACAUACACAUUCAUGAUACUCACUUUACUCUUUCAUAACUACCUGAUCUUCUAAUUUUUUUAUUUAUUUUUGAGUAUAAAAAUUAAAAUCAAAUAUAGUCCCACAUAUUUUUUGAACAAUAUUAAACAGAAAACAAAAUGGAAAUGAAAAUGAGACAAAUUUAUCAUAAAUUAUAUUGGAAUCAUGUAUAAUCGAUCAGUGUAUACCUAGUAAGUCCAACUGGCUAUUUGUGUAAUAAUUCUAGUAGAAUGCCUAAUAAUGAAGAGGCCCAACGUUAAGGCCCAAAUGUAUUAUGCACCGGGGAAACUUACAUAAAUAUACUAUAUUAGGAAAAUAUUUACCAGUUAUUGCAAUAACAAUUUUUUUUCACUUGAUCACUCUCAAUACAUUUAUAAUACAAUUUUAUUAAAUAUUAUAGAGAACAAUUUAUAAAACACAUAUAAUACCAGUUUUAUUGAUGGAUAAUACAUUUAUCACAUAUUUUAAUAUAAUGUGUCAAUUUCUUACCAAACAAUCAUAAUAUAUUUUAAAUAGGUUAUAAUACAUAUAUAUUGCAUACAUAAUUCACUUUUAAUACAUCUUGCAGUUUAUCAUAAUAUUGCUAUGUAUUGUUAUAAAUGAUAAUAAAUAAAAAGUAUCGCUAAAAUCAGUUAUUAUAUAUUAAAAGGUACCCAUCCAAUUAAUUUUUUCCCUCCGGAAAAGCGUGCAGAUGGCCCAUAAGUUUGGUUCAUUUCAUUUCGCAGGAAACAAUUGUUUUUUUUUUAAUUUCUGAGAAAUAGUUGUAUUUUAUUUUUCAAAAGUAAAAAUAUAAUUGAUUCUUGUUCAAAAUAAUUCUUUUAAAACGAAAGUAAAUGUUUUUCCUUAAAUCAAAUGCAUUAACACAUUAUUUUCCACACAGAAGAAAAAAAACUUGUUUACUACGUUUGUCGUCAUAAAAGACAAAUCAACUUAUUUUUUUCCACCUUUAAUUAGAGGUUUCAAAUUUAAGUCUGGAAAUGAAAAAAUUCCUAUAAGGAGCAGCGCCUAUAGAAAUGUUUGAAUCUAAAUUUAGUUAAACCCUAAUACAGAUACCAUGCAUUAAACAUACAUGAAACAAAAACAAAAAAAAACUCAUUUAUGAUUUUAUGUACUUUCUUUUGUACCAAUAUCUCAUAAUUAUAGCUAAGAUCAAUCGCAUGUUGGAAAAGAGUACACAUAGUGAAAUGCGAACCCAAUCAAAUAGUUGAAAUCCAUUGAAUGCAUCAAAUAGUAUAAUGAAAUUAUGUUUCCAAUUUAAGUACUAACGUGGCUUAAACGUUAGAUACAUAAUAUAUAGGCAUUUCUCUAAAGAUAACUAGACAGUGAGCUGCAUAAAAUGUAAGGUGGAAGAAGUGGUUAUAAGCUGCUUGAUGACUAUCCAAAAUUAGAAAUAUGUACUCGUGACGGUUUCAAUUUUUGUGGCACUAUUUGACCUGAUACAAAAUUUAAGAAUAAAAAAACAUCUAAAAUUUGUACUUGUGAAUUUGAAUCUUUCCAGUAAGGGUAAAACACUACAAGAAAACAAGGAAUUAGCCACAUACAAAAUUUCACAACUAAACAACAAAAUGUCAAGCAAACCUCAUUUAGUGAUGGAUUAUAUCAAAAUCCAAUUAGCUAGGAGAUAUUUAGCGACAUAUUAGUAGGAUUUACUAAUAAAUUCCGUUCAUAAUUCUAUAUUUUUGGAAAUAAAUUGUUUCCAACUCUAGAAAUAUAGUAUACUUUUUGGAACUGACAAAAUAAAUCACAUAAAUGGGAUAAAAAAAGUAUUAUUUUUAUGACCAUUAUGAACUAAAUAAGGAAAUAAAAGAAAAUUAAUCUCAAUAAAAAAUAUCAAAAUCUAUUGGUUGCAACUUAUAAGUUUGUCCUAGAAGUGUCCAAAAAUCUGAACCUUCUUUGCAGUUUCCUAAUGAUGCUAAACUUAAUUUAACCUAAAAAGGGGGACUCCAUUGUGAGAUCACAAGUAUAUAUGUAUGUACUUAAAACCUCUCAAUUCUCAAUCACCCUGAGUUUUUAAUUCUUGUGGACAAAUAUAUAUUUUUGAAAAACAUUAGUGUAAUUACCAAGUCUGAAUACUUCACAAAAAAGUUUAACUAAAUUAUGGGCACUGAUAUAUGGUACAUAAAAGGGUGAUCAAUUAAAUACCUUUCAUUAGAAAAUAGGUAACAAAAUUAUAUAGUAAUAAAAAGAUACAGUCACACAGAAAAUAACUUGCUACAAUCGGUUAAAGCACAUAGAUUGUUUAAUUUUUUUUGCACUAUUAAUGUAUAUAAAAUAAAAAGUAUGUCUCAAUCCACGAAUAAGUUAGAAUCGGCUAUAUAAAUCUUUCCUUCUCCAUUUAAGCUUAUUACAUAUCAUGAUCAUAAUUAGAAACAAAACUUAUUAUUUAAUCUAACUCAUCAUAUAUGUUACGUGCGACGAUAUAGCAAAUAUAAUCAAUUUAAAUCUAAGUUAAUCUUGUAUGACGUACUGCAUAUCCAUCUUAACAUGAGUAGUUCUACAACACUUAUUUUGUGAAUAUAUUAGACGUUAGUAUAAUAUUCAGUGUCAUAUAACAUUAUUAGAGUAUAUAAAAUCCUUCACGAAAUAAAUGAAACAAGUAGUAGGGGGGAUAUUGACAAUGCAAUGACAAUGGAACAAAAUUCCAAAUCCAUAUUAUACACGAUAGAUGUUUCAUUUUCGAAUUGCACAUAAAUGUUUGGACAAUGAAGCUCCUAAUGUGAUAUCUCAUGAACAUUUAAUUUAAUACACCUAACAAAACAAAGUUCAAUUAUUGCACUAAUUAUAACGAAUGUUCUCAUAUUAUAAAGUACAAUAAUCAUAAAUCAUGAUGCAUCAUGCAUAUCCUUGUACUUGAUGUUACAAAACCAUAGUAGCCUUUUUCUUGUUCUAUUGCAAAAAACAUUAUAUAUAUGUACGUACACAAUAUAAUGCACCAUGCUUAAUGUUGAUAAUAAUUACACGCAAAGAGUUGAAACAUAUACAUAGCUAGCGUUUGGCCGCAAGUUCUCAAAUAUUUUUGGUAAAUCAUAUUUGAGUGAAGUUUUUGGUGAAGUUUCACUAUGUGUGUUUGGUCCCAAAUUUUCCCAAAAAUAUUUGACUAUUUCAAAAAAAUAUGAUUUAUAUCCAUAAGUUCUAAAAAAUAUUAAAAAUACGCAUAAAUUUAUAUUAUCAUUUUAUAAUGAAUAUGUUCCGUUAAAAAUAGCCUUAUAACAUAAUUGUUAACAAUCAAAAAUAACAAAAUAACAAUAUAGGUAAGACAAUACAUUAAUCGCAUACUCAAACUUGUCUGAUUAAGUUAUAAUUAUAACUCAUUAAACACAAAAUGUUCCUUUUUUCUUAAUUUUAUCACUCAAAUUAAAACUCAAACUUCUUCGGAGGCGGUAGUAACAAAUAUUAGUUGAAAUUAAUAAAUAAUGAGUAUUUUUUUAUAAAAUAUAAAAGUAGUAAUUUUUAAAAUUCUCAAAAACUAGAACUUGGCCCAAAUACUAGUUUUUUCUACUAUUUGAGAACUCGGGAUACUUGACAAAUAUAUUUACCAAGUUAUAUAACCAAACACCACGUCUCAAGUUUUCUCCAAUUUUUUCUCAAAUUUUCCCCAAGUAUUCUUAGGGCCAAAUGAGUCCAUAGUUUUGUGUUGUAGCUGUCCAGUAAAUCUGUAAUACGUGCAUUUGUGUUACGUUUUUUUAAAAAUUAAAAUUAAAAAUGAAGGCUCUCCAAAAUGGUAGAGUUAAUUAAAAUCGUGUAUGACAUAAUAUACGAUACUAUACUCAAUGUAAUCUCACAAGUAAUGUUUGAGAAAGAUGGAAUGUAUGCAAAUUUUACCUCUGUCUUUGUGGGAUGGAGAGUUUAUAGCAUAACUUACCAUACGUAUAAACUGUAUGAAAAUAUCACUUUUUAGAAAAUCAAAUUAUUAAAUUUUGAUCAUAAUAAUUACGUAUAGAUUAUGACAACGGCAUAAAAUAUAUUAUCAGUUACAAUAAUUGCCAACUUAAAAUAUUUAAUAGGUAAAAACAUUGUUGUAAGAAAACCUCAUUUGACUAUUGAAAUUUCAAUUUUGUCAUAUAAAUUGAAAUGGAGAAGGUAAAAUGGAUGUUUUCUUAAUAUUUAACUUUCAAUAAUUUUUAUUUUUUCUAACUUAUGUGGCACAAUUUGUACUCUUAGUCUUGUGAGACAAUUUUAAAAUUUGAUCAUAAAUUUGGACAUGAAAUUUUUUAAGUUUUUAAAAACAAAUUUAUAUAGUUGGCAACUAUGUAAAACAUACUACUAAUAGUCAUAAUUAUUGAUAAUUUAAAAUAUUUAAUAGACAUAUUAAAAAAUUCUUUUGCCGUUCGACAUUCAAAAUGUGUUAUAUAAACUGCGGGUAAAAUAAUAAUAGCUGAAUAAUUCAACUAAAUUAUUUUGCAAAUAUUCCGUAGUACUAAGAGUAAUCGGCAGAGAUAUUUCUCAAUCCUAUGUUACGAAUACUUACUUACUACCAAUAUAUACCUUGGGUGUAGACAUAACAUGAAUAUGAAUUAGUCGGACCUCAAUAAUAGAUAGAGCGGUUACAAUAAUUGUCUGCUCCGUUACUUCCUAGCCAACCUUUUGACAUUCGCAUUCACUUAACUGAAAAAAUUGACAUUGUAAGAUAUCCAAUGGCUAAAAUGGUGACUCAAUUUCUUCGGCUACUACAAACAUUAAUUCCUAUAAAUAAGGUUGUAACGUCCAUCAAUUUUUUGUUUUCCAUUUUCAUGGAAAGCUAUAGAGACAUUUGCGUUUCACCAUUCCAAAACCCAUACUGAAUCAUCCAUCCCCCGCCGUCACCACUAUCACCACCUCCUGACCUCCGUUUCCGUUUAUGGCCAAUUUCAUCAUUUCCCUAAACCCCUCAUAGAAAGAAAAAAUAAAAGAUUGCACCUUUAUUAUUUUCUUUGAUUUAUCAAUAUUCAUUUUUUCGUUUGAGAAAAAAAAAUUAAUUGUCCGCUAUUACGAUGGCGGACAUAGUGAAACAAAUUCUAGCACGGCCAAUACAAUUGGCAGACCAGGUAACAAAAGCGGCUGAUGAAGUUUGUAAUUUUAAGGCAGAUUGUCUUGAAAUUAAAGCCAAAACAGAGAGGCUCGCCGCGCUGCUAAGACAGGCAGCGCGGGCGAGCAAUGACUUGUACGAGCGUCCAACGCGUCGAAUUAUUGAUGACACGGAACAAGUCUUGGACAAGGCACUUACUCUUGUAUUCAAAUGUUGUGCCAGGGGAUUGAGUCGGGUUUUCACGAUUAUCCCAAAUGCUGCAUUGAAGAAAACGUCACAACAGCUUGAGAAUUCAUGUGGUGAUGUUCAAUGGCUGUUACGUGUGUCGACUCCAGCGGAUGAUCGUGAUGAUGAGUAUCUCGGGCUUCCUCCAAUUGCAGCUAAUGAACCGAUUUUGUGUCUGAUAUGGGAACAGAUUGCAAUUUUGUGUACAGGGUCGUUAGAAGAUCGUUCUGAUGCAGCGGCUUCGCUUGUAUCAUUGGCUAGGGACAAUGAGCGUUACGGGAAGUUGAUUAUAGAAGAAGGUGGGGUUGCACCAUUGUUGAAAUUGGCUAAAGAAGGACGAAUGGAAGGUCAGGAGAACGCGUCAAGGGCUAUUGGUCUUCUUGGUCGAGACCCUGAAAGUGUUGAACAAAUUGUGAAUGCUGGUGUUUGUUCUGUGUUUGCGAAGAUUCUAAAAGAUGGGCAUAUGAAAAUUCAGGUUGUAGUGGCUUGGGCAAUUUCAGAAUUGGCUGCAAAUCAUCACAAAUGUCAAGAUCAUUUUGCUCAAGCAAAUACUAUUAGGCUAUUGGUUAGUCAUCUUGCUUUCGAAACAAUUCAAGAACAUAGUAAGUAUGCUAUUGCUACCAAACAACAGAACAUGUCGAUACACGCUGCUGCCAUGGCACAUUCUAAUUCUUCUGGUACUAGCAAAUUCAGUGACACUGGAGGUAAACUUGAAGAUGAUGACAAUAGAACUCAUAGUAAAAUUCUUCAUCCUAUGGAUAAUCAAACAACCAACCAAAUGCAUAGUUUGGUUACGAGCGCAAUGGCCUUGAAAUCCCAGGCACAGAAUGAGCCCAACAAUCCUAUAUCAAGUCCAAAUCAACAGCAGCAGCAGCGACAAAACCCGAAUCAGCAGAGGAGCCACCAUGUUGGACUGACAGGGACUAGCAUUAAAGGGAGGGAAUAUGAAGAUCCUGCUACAAAAGCUGAAAUGAAAGCAAUGGCUGCCAGAGCACUUAGGCAUCUGUGUGCAGGAAAUGUUAGCAUUUGUACUCAUAUUACAGAAUCCCGAGCUCUUUUAUGCUUUGCCGUUUUGCUAGAGAAAGGCCCUGAUGAAGUACAAUAUCAUUCAGCCAUGGCACUUAUGGAGAUCACAGGUAAGUGUAUCACAUUUAGCUAAUAAAAUUUUAGCCCGCCUAACAGAUGCGUUUAUAAAUCAAUGAAAAGUGAAGGUUGGAUUAUGAGCCAUUAUUUUACCUAACCAUGUUAUUGAUUGAAGGGAGUCCGUUUUAACCCUUGUGGAUUUAGCUCAACUCGUUCAUUUGACACUCCUAUAUGCAGGAGUUGCUGAGCUAAAUUCAGACUUGAGACGUGCAGCUUUCAAGCCGACUGCACCUGCUGCCAAAGCUGUGCUUGAUCAAUUUUUGAGAAUUAUAAACCUGGAAGAUUCAGAAUUGCUCAUUCCAAGCAUCAGAUCUAUAGGCCAUCUGGCCAGGACCUUUCGAGCAACGGAAACCAGACUCAUUGGUCCAUUGGUGGUUCUGUUAGAUGAUAGGGAACCAGAAGUAACUAGGGAAGCUGCAAUUGCACUGAACAAAUUUGCUUCCUCUGAUAAUUUCCUAAGAGUCGAUCACUGCAAGGCCAUAAUACAGGCAGGAGGUACCAAGCACCUAGUUCCACAUGUUUACUUUGGUGAACAAAUGGUUCAGGUUCCUUGUUUGAUUCUCUUGAGUUACAUUGCAACACAUGUUCCUGAUAGUGAGGCAUUAGCUGAUGACAAUGCACAUAUAGUGUUGGAGUGGGCUACAAAGCAGGGACACCUAAUGCAAGAUCCUACAGUUGAAGAACUAGUGAACCAAGGCAGAGAAAGCAUGGAACUUUAUCAGUCCAGAGGCUCACGCCUGUGAACCUAUCCAUUUGUAUAAUACGUCCCAAAUUUAGGUACUUCUUUAAACUUCCCUCUUUCAAUUAUAUUGGGAGUGUAUACAAUAUCUACGAGGUAAGGGUAAGAUCUGUGUAUACUCUACCCUCCCUAGACCCCCACAGGUGGAAUUACAAUAGGUAUGUUGUUGUCGUGUAUACAAGAUUAACACGUUAGUCAAUGUACAAGGUUCUCUAUGUGAGUCUGAUGCAAUAUGUUUUCUGCUUUUACCUUGAGUUUGAUUCCAAUUAUGCAAGUGUUAUCAUGGUUUAGGUUGAAACUCGAGGCCCUCUUUAUCAUGGACCAAAGUUGAUGAUAUCAAUUGUGUUAACAUAAACAAGACGCAUCUACCAAAUCGAAGAGCAAAUAGCGACACAGAUACAGAUUAGAAUUCUUGGAGCAGUCCAAGACGCUGGUUAGAGAUAGGUAAUCAAGACACAAAUGAACAAGACUGGUAGGUUUUGAUCCUGAAUUCAGUUUUGCUGCAGUCAAAUCUUUGUUUGAUUCAUUUCUUUUUCCUUGUUUACAUAUAGUUUUACUUUGGAGUUGGAGCAAUGGCCAGGAUGGUUGGAUUCGUGACCUCUUGAUUACUGAAAAUGUUACCUCGACAUCUUUUUAGAAUACAUAGAUGUAAUUCAUUCCCACUUUUUGUAACUCGCAAUGUGAAUGUCACAUUACGCUUAUACUGAAUUUUGCACUUGUACUAUAUAGUUAGAUCAUGUACAUUUACCCCAUGAAAAAAAGUGAAACUUGCUACUAUGGCUCAUACUAUUACGACUUAAUGGUGUUACUGAACUAACCAUAAAUGAUUCUCCAAUCAAAUACUAAAUGUCAAAAGUAAAGAUCUUGCUUUUAAAAUUCCCUUCAAUACGUAGUCAAAAGUUAUUCCAUAGCUAGAACCACUCAAUAAAUAUCUCCAGCGAAUAGAACCUUAUACAACAACAGCAUAAAAACAAUGGUACAUAACCAUUUUAUUAAAGCCAUAAACAAAAGAAGUAACAAUAAUAGACCCAAGGGGUCAUUUCCAACAUUAACUGGAGAUCACACACAAAGAUCCAUUUCAAUGAACGUAAUUUAGCAAUCAUAAAAAUGGAUAUGAAACUACGAACUGAAGAAUUAAAGAGAGAAUUAAGCAGCUGCUUAUAAAUUGAUAUUGCUUCGAAACCAUGUAUGUUUUUACUUGUACAGAGAGUAUCCAUUGCAUCAUCAUCGACAAAAAUAAGACUCCCCAAUACUUAAAAGCUUCAAAUGAAAUGAAACUACUAAAGAGCAGAAAAUAAAAACCAUAAGCCACGAAACACUACAGAUAGGUACCAAAAACAGAACGUAAAUGAUAAAACAUAGCAGGCCUACAAAGCCACGAUCACUGACCACCACUAGUGCAUUCACGGGCAAAGUGGCCGUCCUCCCCACAUUUGUAGCAACCACCACCUCGUCCACCACCGCCGCCGCCACGGCCACCGCCUCCUCGGCCACCACCUCCGGAGUAUCGACCACCACCGCCGCCACCACCUUCACGUCUGNNNNNNNNNNNNNNNNNNNNNNNNNNNNNNNNNNNNNNNNNNNNNNNNNNNNNNNNNNNNNNNNNNNNNNNNNNNNNNNNNNNNNNNNNNNNNNNNNNNNNNNNNNNNNNNNNNNNNNNNNNNNNNNNNNNNNNNNNNNNNNNNNNNNNNNNNNNNNNNNNNNNNNNNNNNNNNNNNNNNNNNNNNNNNNNNNNNNNNNNNNNNNNNNNNNNNNNNNNNNNNNNNNNNNNNNNNNNNNNNNNNNNNNNNNNNNNNNNNNNNNNNNNNNNNNNNNNNNNNNNNNNNNNNNNNNNNNNNNNNNNNNNNNNNNNNNNNNNNNNNNNNNNNNNNNNNNNNNNNNNNNNNNNNNNNNNNNNNNNNNNNNNNNNNNNNNNNNNNNNNNNNNNNNNNNNNNNNNNNNNNNNNNNNNNNNNNNNNNNNNNNNNNNNNNNNNNNNNNNNNNNNNNNNNNNNNNNNNNNNNNNNNNNNNNNNNNNNNNNNNNNNNNNNNNNNNNNNNNNNNNNNNNNNNNNNNNNNNNNNNNNNNNNNNNNNNNNNNNNNNNNNNNNNNNNNNNNNNNNNNNNCCCCCGCCGCCACCGCCUUCACUCUGGGUACACUCCCGAGCAAAGUGGCCUGAUUCACCACACUGAUAGCAGCCGCCUCCUCCACCACCUCUUCCACCGCCAUAACCGCCGCCGCCUCCUCCAUAGCCACCGCCUCCACCGUAUCCACGGUUACCUCCACCGUAGCCACUGUCUCCAUCACCGUAUCCACGGUUUCCACCUCGGCUACCACCAUAACCACCAUCUCUGCUACCACCAUAACCACCAUCUCGGCCACCUCCGCCGCCGCCAGAUCCUCCAGAGACCGGUGCUCCAUCAGGCCCGGUGACAUCAACAGCCUUGCUACGGCCAUCAUUGCCGGACUCAAUCACGUACUCUACUUCCUCACCAUCAGACAGGCUACGGAAACCCUCAGAUCUGAUUCCGGACUGGUGAACAAAGAGAUCGCUAGAACCAUCUUUAGGAGUUAUGAACCCAAAGCACUUCUCGUUACUGAACCACUUGACGAUUCCCUGGCACCUUUGUUCUCCCUCAUCCGCCAUUUUUUUACCUCACAAACAGAAACCCUAAAAACCCUUAGUAUGUGUUCCCUUUGGAAUUGUCACCGUGCCCUUUCACAACAAGGGGAUGCCUAUUUUAUAUACUAAUAACCUCACUGCCACCUUGCUGGGCCCAUCAACACAGUGGGCCAUAAGGUUAAUUUACAAUAAUUUCAUAUAAAAAUACAAACUGUCAAUUAAAUGUUUUACUAAUUUUUCAAAUUAUAUAUUUAUUUAUUUAUCAUCAGAAUAUAUUCUCAUACUCAUUUAAAAGGCAAGUUAUCAAUAACAUAUUUAAUAAAAUUUCCCUAAUUCAUUUAUAGAAAAAAAAUCUAAUUUUAUUUAAAUCAUAAUAAUUACCUCUCUCUUUAUUCUCCUUUUUUUGUUUCUUCUUUCUUCUUUUUUGUUGAUUUUUUUUCCUUAAAUCAUAUUAUUCGUUGGUUAUAUAAUCUGACUCAUAUAUAUUUUUACUUUUGACUUUUUUUCUUCUUUUUUUUUACAACUGUUUUGUCCUAUUUCAUAUAUAGAUUUUUGCUUUUGUUUUUUCAUUUUUUUAUUUUUUUUUUAUAACUCUUUUGUCCUAUUUCAUAUAUAUAUAUAUAUAUAUAUAUAUAUAUAUAUAUAUAUAUAUAUAUAUAUAUAUAUAUAUAUAUAUAUAUAGGCUGUUUUUGACAGAAGGAUAGGAAGGCAAUUUGGAAAUUUUACUUUAUAUAUUUCUCUGAAUUAAAGAGUACGAAGUGCAAUUAAUUUAUACUAUUUUAUAAAGUGCAAAAUUGCUUACUUUGUAAUUAAAAAAACUACUAGUAAAUAUUUACAUACAGCACAUAAAUAAAUAAAAUAUCUAGAAAAGUAAAGAAAGAAUCAGUAGAGGGGUCAUUAUUCCAAUGUGAUGAGGUAUAAAGUUGUUAUGCUGUGUGUGGAAAUUAUUCAGCUGAAAUGGACUUGUCAGCCCAAGAAUAAUAACAGAGCCCAUCACUGGCCCAAAUGGAAAAUUCCAACAUCAAGUGGAAUAUGCCUUACUAUUUGGAUUUGAGAAUUUCUCACAAAUAACGCUAAUAAUAUGAUAGGGUGUAUAUGGAACGGGUUGAUACGCAUUAUUCAAAUAUCAAAUUAAAUAAUUUAUGUAAAAUUAAAUUAAUAAAGUAUAGGUUUUCAACCUAGAGUUUUUUUUAAUUUCUCAUGUUAAUGAUUCAUACAAACAUAUUAUCAACUUCUAAACGGGUUGGUACGCAUUGUUCAAAUACCAAAUUAAAUAAUUUAUGUAAAGUUUAAAUUAAAUUAAUAUAGUAUAGGUUUUUCAACCUAGAGUUUUUUGGAUUUCUCAUGUUAAUGAUUCAUACAAACAUAUUAUCAACUUCUACUCAAAUAUUUGUUUAGUCUUAUCAAAAUACAACUAUAUUUUUAAAAAAACAACAUUAAGAAAAUAGCACAAAACAUGAUAUGAGUGAUCACUAAACAAUUUUAACAAAUAAUAAUAAUAAUAAUAAUAUUGGAUGAUAAAAUUAUUGAAAAUAAUUAAGUCAUAAUAAAAAUUUUAGGAUACUAAAUUAUUUGAAAAUAAAUCUACUAAACAGUAAUUACAUGACUAAAUAUUAAAGAAAAACUAAAAUAAGGUUAUAUAUUUUAAUUGUCUAACCCAAUUAAAAUAUAAAUGGUUUCUUUUAGUAUUAAUAUUAAUUUGAGCUUUACUAGAGUUAUUAAUAUAAAUGGAUUAUAUUUUAUUGGACCAUUCAAAUUCUAAGUUAACAUGAUUAUAUAUAUUCUUUAAAAAAUAUAUGAAUUAUUUAUAAAUUAUACCAAAGUAAAUACUUGUAUCUGUAAAAUAAAUUUAAAAUUAUAUAGAUAAUGUUAGGUUAGUUUAAUCUCGUGUUGACUAAACAAAAAAGGCAAGUGCCUAGCGCGAAAGGUUGUUUCACUAAGUAGGAUAAGGAAGAUGCAAGGACGUAGCUAUCGCGCGAAAGCCCUUUUAUUGUUCGUUAGCGCAUUUUGUUGAUUUUUGAAAGGAGCAAAGCGAACCUUAAGCUCAUUUUUUUCAGGCAUCUUUGAUAUCUUAAUUGUCAAACGCUAAGUUUUUGCUAUCAUAUAGAUCAAGUAAGCUUGAUUCUUAUUUUAUUUUUUUCUCAAUUUACGGUUUAAUACGAUUUUCAAUUUGGUUGCUUUCUCCCCUAUUUACCGUGAUAACAGUAAGCAAGUUUGCGAACCAAAUGAUAGCGCUCCUUGAAUCGGAAAUUUAUGGAAAACAGUUAUUGUGAUUCGUUUAAGGUUUUUAUACUCAUAAUAUACCAAUCUAUUUUUAAAAUUAAUCAAUUAUCUUCACAUGAAUGGUCGAAUCAACAGGUGAAUGAUACACAACAAUAAGUUUAAGCAUCAAUAUGAACUAUGAAAAUAGAACAAAAAAUUGCACAUCCAUUCACUUGAAACAUUCAAAAUUGUACAUGUAUUGAUUAGAAUUAUAUGGCAUACAAAUUGCACAAACAACUCAUCUAAACCUCUCUUGUGAUCUUCAUUCUUCACUCAUCGUUCAACACAUUAUUUUUGUCAAUUUCAAGCAUGAAUGACAAAGAAGCACAUAGAGAGAGAGGCCGACCGCAAAGAAUCAGGAAAAAGUGGGCUUGCUAUCAAUUUAGUUAAAACUCCAAAUGAGUUAAUUUGAUGGAAUGAAAUAUGACAUGCUAAGACUAAUUACCAAUUACAAAUUUAAAACACAACAAUCAAUAACUAUACCACUCCACGAGAUACACACAAGAGGAUAAAUUUAUUGGGAAUAUAAUAGAGUCAAAAGUUAUUCUUUGACUCAACCACUCCAUUAAUAUAUACUCCUUAGCGAAUAAAACCAAAUAACACUCAAGGACCUAUACCAAUACAAAUAACACUGCCUUCCAACAAAACACAAAACAUGAUGGACACAAAAAGGGUCAGUUCCAACUUUUUCCCAUACAUAAAAUGAAUUCAUCUCACCUAACAAAAUACAAUCAAACAUUACUGUAAACAAAAUAACUCCAUAGAACAAGUAGAAAUUAAAGGGAUAAAGAGUUUAGUAGCACAAUAAUUGAUAUUGCUUUCCAAAACAUGUAUGUGGACAUGUACAGAGAGUAUUCAUUGACGCACCAACAAAACUACAACUCCCCAUUACAAAAAGCAUGAUACUACUAACAACUAUCAACCAGUACAAAAUAAGAUAAAACAAGCAACACUAGAGAUAAUCCAGACUAACAGUAACAAUUAAGUACCGUAAACAUAACAACUUGAAAAUAGCAAAAAUCAAAAACACAGAGAUCACGAUCAAUGACCGCCGCUUGUGCACUCGCGGGCGAAAUGACCUUCUUCUCCACACUUGUAGCAGCCACCGCCGCCACCACCUCCACCGCCGCCAGNNN